GGGUGACUAGUAUAGUGGUCAGUACACUUCGUUGUGGUCUUCACAACGUCCGAAGAAACCCAGGUUCGAUUCCUGGGUCGCCCA